rnacentral:rRNA from 1 species
UACGGAGGGUGCAAUCGUUAUCCGGAUUUACUGGGUUUAAAGGGUGCGCAGGCGGAUAUGUAAGUCAGUGGUGAAAUCUCCGGGCUUAACCCGGAAACUGCCGUUGAUACUAUAUAUCUUGAAUGCUGUGGAGGUAAGCAGAAUAUGUCAUGUAGCGGUGAAAUGCUUAGAGAUGACAUAGAAUACCUAUUGCGAAGGCAGCUUACUACGCAGAUAUUGACGCUCAUGCACGAAAGCGUGGGGAUCAAACAGG